ACGCACGCUGGCGGCGUGCUUAACCCAUGCAAGUCGAACGGAAAGGCCCUGCUUUUGUGGGGUGCUCGAGUGGCGAACGGGUGGGUAACACGUGAGUAACCUGCCCUUGACUUUGGGAUAACUUCAGGAAACUGGGGCUAAUACCGGAUAGGAGCUCCUGCUGCAUGGUGGGGGUUGGAAAGUUUCGGCGGUUGGGGAUGGACUCGCGGCUUAUCAGCUUGUUGGUGGGGUAGUGGCUUACCAAGGCUUUGACGGGUAGCCGGCCUGAGAGGGUGACCGGCCACAUUGGGACUGAGAUACGGCCCAGACUCCUACGGGAGGCAGCAGUGGGGAAUAUUGCACAAUGGGCGGAAGCCUGAUGCAGCAACGCCGCGUGCGGGAUGACGGCCUUCGGGUUGUAAACCGCUUUCGCCUGUGACGAAGCGUGAGUGACGGUAAUGGGUAAAGAAGCACCGGCUAACUACGUG
rnacentral:rRNA from 1 species